UCAGUCCAAAACUGAAAAUCCUCCAUUGGAAUUCUAGAGGGAACAAAGUGACCUCUACUCUAAAAAGCUCCCAUAAUAGAGUUAAAGUCACCAAUAAAACUCCAUGGUAAGGGGAAAGCUCGGUGUAAGGUUUGCAGGGAGGAUCAAAGUUCUCUUCUUUUAAUGUAACAUGUGGAAGCAUAAAUAGCCACCAUUCCAGAAGAAGCAUUGUUGUAAUCAAAAGAGAAGGAAACAAGUUGAUCAAGGGUAUUUAAAAUGGUAGGAUUUAGAUUUAGUGUGCACAGACACCAAAGAUUUGGUUGUAGAGUAUCUCUAUUGUUUAUGGCAAAAAGCUUAUAACCUAGUCUAGUGAACCAACCU
rnacentral:lncRNA from 1 species